UAGGUCAUUGUGUGCCAUAUACAUUCGUUGUUCUUGUAAUCAAAUGGUAUGGAGAUACUGGUAUGACAUGCAGGUGAGAUGUCGGGGUACAUCGUCACUGAACGUGACCAACUGCGGAGCACUUUGCUGUCAAAGAUAGCUCACAAAAGAUAUGGGUAUAAGUAUCCCUCCGACCUGAGAUCACCACGAUGACUUACAAGCAACUCACUGUACUUUGGUGUCAGACUAAUUGAGUUUUUAAUUCAGUGAUGAAAGAUUUUUGGAUACAGUCAAAUACUUGUCAAGUCGGUGCAUGAGUCAAGAUGGGAUUGAUCCCUCUGAAUUAGUAGAAGAUAUGCAUCAGUGUAUUUCAAUUUAGCAAAACCUAGAUCCGGAUAAUCCAUGUGAUGGAUUUAAAAAAGAUUAAAAUAUAAUAUGGAUGACUUAUCUAGGAUUGAUAGUUAAAUUUUAAGUCAUCCUUAUGCAUUAGGGUC
rnacentral:lncRNA from 1 species